AUACUCACCUGGCCAGGGUGACACCACAGUCAUGAAGUCAGUUUUCCCAGGCGAGGCUUACCCCUUGCACCAGGAUUUGCUGACCCAGCAUUGUCCCCAAUGUGGGAAAUCUGACUGCAUAAUUCGCGGUAGUGGGGGCUCCGCUCACCCUCUCCCCCG